AUUGAACGCUGGCGGCAUGCCUUACACAUGCAAGUCGAACGGCAGCGGGGGAGAAGCUUGCUUUUCCUGCCGGCGAGUGGCGAACGGGUGAGUAAUACAUCGGAACGUGCCCUGUAGUGGGGGAUAACUAGUCGAAAGAUUAGCUAAUACCGCAUACGACCUGAGGGUGAAAGUGGGGGACCGCAAGGCCUCAUGCUAUAGGAGCGGCCGAUGUCUGAUUAGCUAGUUGGUGGGGUAAAGGCCUACCAAGGCGACGAUCAGUAGCUGGGCUGGUAGGACGAUCAGCCACACUGGGACCGGGACACGGCCCAGACUCCUACGGGAGGCAGCAGUGGGGAAUUUUGGACAAUGAGCGAAAGCCUGAUCCAGCAAUGCCGCGUGUGUGAAGAAGGCCUUCGGGUUGUAAAGCACUUUUGUCCGGAAAGAAAUGGCUCUGGUUAAUACCUGGGGUCGAUGACGGUACCGGAAGAAUAAGGACCGGCUAACUACGUGCCAGCAGCCGCGGUAA
rnacentral:rRNA from 1 species